rnacentral:rRNA from 1 species
GAUGAACUCUAGCUACAGGCUUAACACAUGCAAGUCGAGGGGCAGCAUGGUCUUAGCUUGCUAAGGCCGAUGGCGACCGGCGCACGGGUGAGUAACACGUAUCCAACCUGCCGUCUACUCUUGGACAGCCUUCUGAAAGGAAGAUUAAUACAAGAUGGCAUCAUGAGUCCGCAUGUUCACAUGAUUAAAGGUAUUCCGGUAGACGAUGGGGAUGCGUUCCAUUAGAUAGUAGGCGGGGUAACGGCCCACCUAGUCUUCGAUGGAUAGGGGUUCUGAGAGGAAGGUCCCCCACAUUGGAACUGAGACACGGUCCAAACUCCUACGGGAGGCAGCAGUGAAGAAUAUUGGUCAAUGGGCCGAGAGCCUGAACCAACCAAGUAGCGUGAAGGGAUGACUGCCCUUAUGGGGUGUUAACUUUUUUUAUAAAGGAAAUAAAGUCGGGUAUGGAUACCCGUUUGCAUGUACUUUAUGAAUAAGGAUCGGCUAACUCCGUGCCAGCAGCCGCGGUAAUACGGAGGAUCCGAGCGUUAUCCGGAUUUAUUGGGUUUAAAGGGAGCGUAGAUGGAUGUUUAAGUCAGUUGUGAAAGUUUGCGGCUCAACCGUAAAAUUGCAGUUGAUACUGGAUAUCUUGAGUGCAGUUGAGGCAGGCGGAAUUCGUGGUGUAGCGGUGAAAUGCUUAGAUAUCACGAAGAACUCCGAUUGCGAAGGCAGCCUGCUAAGCUGCAACUGACAUUGAGGCUCGAAAGUGUGGGUAUCAAACAGGAUUAGAUACCCUGGUAGUCCACACGGUAAAC